rnacentral:rRNA from 1 species
UGGGGAAUAUUGCACAAUGGGCGCAAGCCUGAUGCAGCCAUGCCGCGUGUAUGAAGAAGGCCUUCGGGUUGUAAAGUACUUUCAGUCGGGAGGAAGGUGUCAAGGUUAAUAACCUUGGCAAUUGACGUUACCGACAGAAGAAGCACCGGCUAACUCCGUGCCAGCAGCCGCGGUAAUACGGAGGGUGCAAGCGUUAAUCGGAAUUACUGGGCGUAAAGCGCACGCAGGCGGUUGAUUGAGUCAGAUGUGAAAUCCCCGGGCUUAACCCGGGAAUUGCAUCUGAUACUGGUCAGCUAGAGUCUUGUAGAGGGGGGUAGAAUUCCAUGUGUAGCGGUGAAAUGCGUAGGGAUGUGGAGGAAUACCGGUGGCGAAGGCGGCCCCCUGGACAAAGACUGACGCUCAGGUGCGAAAGCGUGGGGAGCAAACAGG